AACGCACAUUGCGCCCGCCAGUAUUCUGGCGGGCAUGCCUGUUCGAGCGUCAUUUCAACCCUCGAGCCCGCUGGGCUUGGUGUUGGGGCCCGGCCGCGCUCUGCGGCCGGCCCUGAAAUGUAGUGGCGGUCUCGCCGCAGCCUCCCCUGCGCAGUAGCACAACUCGCACCGGAGAGCGGCGGGGCCACGCCGUGAAACCCCAUACUUCGUAAGGUUGACCUCGGAUCAGGUAGGAAUACCCGCUGAACUUAA
rnacentral:misc_RNA from 1 species